rnacentral:rRNA from 1 species
UACGUAGGGUGCAAGCGUUGUCCGGAAUUAUUGGGCGUAAAGAGCUCGUAGGCGGUUUGUCGCGUCUGCUGUGAAACUCAGGGCUUAACCCUGAGCCUGCAGUGGGUACGGGCAGACUAGAGUGGUGGUAGGGGAGAUCGGAAUUCCUGGUGUAGCGGUGGAAUGCGCAGAUAUCGAGGAGGACACCGGUGGCGAAGGCGGAUCUCUGG